AUUACCCACAAGGGGCGCUGAUGAAGUCAGCUGAGACUGUGCACGUAUUGCACUUACCCUUCGAACCUGUAAGUUAACACUUGCGUAGGGAUGUGGAUAGAAACCGAC
rnacentral:ncRNA from 2 species